UACGGAGGGGGCUAGCGUUGUUCGGAAUUACUGGGCGUAAAGCGCGCGUAGGCGGCUUUGUAAGUUAGAGGUGAAAGCCCGGAGCUCAACUCCGGAACUGCCUUUAAGACUGCAUCGCUAGAAUUGUGGAGAGGUGAGUGGAAUUCCGAGUGUAGAGGUGAAAUUCGUAGAUAUGGGGGAGGAACACCGGUGGCGAAGGCGGCCACCUGGACGGUAACUGACGGCUGAGACGCGAAAGCGUGGGGAGCAAACAGG
rnacentral:rRNA from 1 species